UUGAACGCUGGCGGCAGGCCUAACACAUGCAAGUCGAACGGUAACAGGAAGCAGCUUGCUGCUUUGCUGGCGCGUGGCGGACGGGUGAGUAAUGUCUGGGAAACUGCCUGAUGGAGGGGGAUAACUACUGGAAACGGUAGCUAAUACCGCAUAACGUCGCAAGACCAAAGAGGGGGACCUUCGGGCCUCUUGCCAUCGGAUGUGCCCAGAUGGGAUUAGCUAGUAGGUGGGGUAACGGCUCACCUAGGCGACGAUCCCUAGCUGGUCUGAGAGGAUGACCAGCCACACUGGAACUGAGACACGGUCCAGACUCCUACGGGAGGCAGCAGUGGGGAAUAUUGCACAAUGGGCGCAAGCCUGAUGCAGCCAUGCCGCGUGUAUGAAGAAGGCCUUCGGGUUGUAAAGUACUUUCAGCGGGGAGGAAGGGAGUAAAGUUAAUACCUUUGCUCAUUGACGUUACCCGCAGAAGAAGCACCGGCUAACUCCGUG
rnacentral:rRNA from 1 species